GCUCCCUUGAUCUGGGAUGAUUGAUCUCCAUUCUUGAUGGCCACUUAUGACACUUUCUUCACUCUGAGUUGAAAGAAAGGCCAGAAGAGUUCUCUUCUAACCUUCUCUGACUGGGAGGAGUAUUCAGCUAUAUGAUACCAGUGACCACAGAGCACACCUCCUUCUUCCUACAGAGCCCAGAAUGCCCUUUCCAGAUCCUUUUUAAGGAGUCUGUAUUUGUUUUGCCACUGAAGGAGAAACAGAACCCAGAAGACCUUUAAGGCAUUGGAUCAAACUGCUGAUAGUGAGCUCUUCCUUGUUGCAAGAAAUAAGCCAUCUCUUCUUCCUUAUUGCAAGAAGUGUGGAUUUCAUUCAAACCCUCUGUGUGCCUUCCAGGACUGUUGGGACGGAAGUAUUUCUUCAGUGCUGAUCUGGGGGCCUUGACCAAGAGUGUUGACGGCUGGCAGCUAAUGUCUGUUUUCACUUCUGUGGCUUCUGGUGAGAGAGAACUUUGUGAGCCGGCCACUUGGGAGAAGAGGGCAUAUUACCCAAGAGCCAUAGUCUGCAGAACCUGUUUGUGGGUGAGAUGGGGACGAAGACAGGAGAAGAUCCCUAGUACAAUCUGAUUUUCCCUCAUUAUCAACAAGGAACCUAAAAAAGUAGGGCAAGUCCUGGUUGUCCAGGCUAAGAGAAUUGCCAUCUUCCUCAGACAGAAGGUUCUCAGACAUCACGUGGAAAAAGAGCCUACUUUGCAACAGUUCCUGGAGUUCUUGUCUCACUGUCUGUCUCUCAUCCAGGGACUGAGUCACGACUAAAUGCCCUUUUUAUGGUCACCAAGUGCGCCGCCUCACUAAAUCAUGUAUACACGUUUUUUUGCCCAGUGAGACCACAUCUGUUGUCUCUCAUUAGACAAUAGUGUUAUUACUGUUUCCUUCUGUUUCUGUCACCUGUUCAUCUGUGGAGGCCUCAUGGAAGGUGAAAAGCUCACCUGACUACCUUAUUUU